AAACUGCGAUAAGUAGUGUGAAUUGCAUUUAGUGAAUCAUCGAAUCUUUGAACGCACCUUGCACUCACUGGUAUUCCGGUGAGUACGCCUGUUUCAGUAUCAUUGAAAACACACAAUCAAAACAUUUUCUUUGGUUUGAUUGGCUUUGGGUCUAUCAAAAAGUUUGGCUUGUUUCUUACAAGCCAAGCGGCCUGAAAUAUAUUGUCUGGCUAAUUGCAUCGUUGAUGAUCGCUAUUAGACUUUGGCUUUUUUAAAUGAACUGGAGGUUGAUUAACCAAUUUUAGCUUUAGUCAAAUGGUCAUUGUAAAAAAAAUCUCGAUCUUGGCUAGGUGUUUAUAGCCGAAAAUUUUUUUUUGGCUAUAACCGAAACCAAUAUAAUCACAUUUAGUUAUCGAUCUGAAAUCAGGUGGGACUACCCGCUGAACUUAAGC
rnacentral:misc_RNA from 1 species